GUAGGUGAACCUGCGGAAGGAUCAUUACAGAGUUCAUGCCCGAAAGGGUAGACCUCCCACCCUUGUGUAUUAUUACUUUGUUGCUUUGGCGAGCUGCCUUCGGGCCUUGUAUGCUCGCCAGAGAAUACCAAAACUCUUUUUAUUAAUGUCGUCUGAGUACUAUAUAAUAGUUAAAACUUUCAACAACGGAUCUCUUGGUUCUGGCAUCGAUGAAGAACGCAGCGAAAUGCGAUAAGUAAUGUGAAUUGCAGAAUUCAGUGAAUCAUCGAAUCUUUGAACGCACAUUGCGCCCCUUGGUAUUCCGGGGGGCAUGCCUGUUCGAGCGUCAUUUCAACCCUCAAGCUUAGCUUGGUAUUGAGUCUAUGUCAGUAAUGGCAGGCUCUAAAAUCAGUGGCGGCGCCGCUGGGUCCUGAACGUAGUAAUAUCUCUCGUUACAGGUUCUCGGUGUGCUUCUGCCAAAACCCAAAUUUUUCUAUGGUUGACCUCGGAUCAGGUAGGGAUACCCGCUGAACUUAAGCAUAUCAAUAAGCGGAGGAAAACUUUUUU
rnacentral:rRNA from 1 species